UACGAAGGGGGCUAGCGUUGCUCGGAAUCACUGGGCGUAAAGGGUGCGUAGGCGGGUCUUUAAGUCAGGGGUGAAAUCCUGGAGCUCAACUCCAGAACUGCCUUUGAUACUGAGAGUCUUGAGUAUGACAGAGGUGAGUGGAACUGCGAGUGUAAGAGGUGAAAUUCGUAGAUAUUCGCAAGAACACCAGUGGCGAAGGCGGCUCACUGGGUCAUUACUGACGCUGAGGCACGAAAGCGUGGGGAGCAAACAGG
rnacentral:rRNA from 1 species